CUCAUUCGAGGGGGAGCUUACGUAGUUGUACUCUUUUUACUUUUACAACGGUUUUUCUCAUUGGGUUUUCCAUGACUAAGUUUUUAACGAGGUACUACGUAAUACAAGAUGGAUAAUCAAGGGGGAGUGUUAUAAGAUAAGCAUUGAAAUGAUCAUCCACUUCUUUACCAACUCAAGCACUAUGAUCAUCUACUCAUCAAGCACUAUGAUCACCCACUCAUUUACCAAAUUAAGCAUUAUCUUUGUUAUUUUAUGUAUUGUUGUUCACUAUAAAUACCAUCACUCAUCUCACUCUUUUGUACACCAUAAACAAGAACAAGAGUUUAUAAUCAAACACCAUUACAUCUUCUUCUUCUUCCUUAUAAUAAACUAUCUCCCUUAUAUUAGUGUUAUUUGCUUCAUACGGGUAUUAAAUUCUACUCUUAUUUAAAUUUCUCGAUACUAUAAAUUAUAAGUUAUUUCAUAACAGUAGU
rnacentral:lncRNA from 1 species